rnacentral:lncRNA from 1 species
UUUUAAUCAUCUGUUGCUGAGAAAGCAGAGAAAGGAACAGUCAGGGAGGGACUCUGGGUUCUCUGUGCAGUAGUUUUGUUUUACUGAGAGACUCUCAGUGAGGUGUACAGUUUGUAGUUAACACUUCUGGGAUACAGAAAAGCCUCUGUUCACUCAGCCUCAGACAGGCUUGCUGAGAACUGGGUGGAUGAGCAGUGGCUGGGAGCCAAAUUGCCCCUCAGGUAAGCUAGCUUUGUGACUUGGGUGAUGGGUGAUGUGGGGAGGUGCGAUAUGUGGGUGCCAUUUUGAAAUUCUGCAAUGUUUAAGCAUUACUACACAGAAUAUGUUGAAAAUUGCUUACUUUGGGCAAGUGACUUUUUGAGUUUCUAUGGUAUUUCUUUAGUAACUUAUUAGCAAGCUGGUAUGAGAUAAAAAGUUACUUUACUGAAUUCUUUCCCCUAGUCUUCCUUGCCAUACUUGAAUGUAUCAUUCUUAAUGACACUUUGCUGUACUUCUGGGGGUUGCCUCAGCAACUCUCUCUUCACUGGCAGAUGUGCCAACAUGUAUGUUGGGUCCAGAAGUCUGUAUGUACCCAUCUUAUAAAGAAGUCUCCAGAGCUGGCUGAAAUUCCAAAUUUCAGCCAAAGCUUUGGGCCAAGGGAAAGAUAGUAGAAAAUGUGCAAAGCAGUACUGUUCAUGUUAGAUGGAUGGAUACAGUGAAGAAUUAAGCCUCACACAGAAUUAGCUUGAAACAGUACUGUCACCUAGGGUCUGGUCUCUAGGCUAGAUCAGGUUAUGGGACCCUAUAAAUUAUGUAAUUAGACUAUACAUUGGUGGGAAGUUGCUAAGAUAAAGACUUGCUCAAAAGACUAACAGCAAAAGAUGUGUGUAUUGAAAUGUAUAGUUUGCUGUAGUUCAAGUGGAGUCUUCAGUGCAGCAGGUAGACCUAGUUAUACAGUUAUGUAUGGAAUGGAAAGCAAACUACUGUUAAACGGUUUUUGUCUCUCCCCUGCCACCUUCUUUAGAUUUCUUAAUCUCCUGUGUGUGUCAGGAUGGCUAGUGAUGACCUGAACAUCUAUAACUGACAAAGGUCUACUUGGGGGACUAAAGCAGUAUUUAGCUUAAAUAUGUGAAAGAACAAAAUUAUCAAAAGAUGUUGAUUAGGAUUAUUUAAGGUCAUGUGACAUUGAUCUUUUCUUCUACGUCAUGGUUCUUGCCACACUCCUAUUCUGAGUUUAUUUUUUUGGUAAGCUGUAGUUGUAGCCCAUAACAGUUUGACCUGGCCUAGGACUACAUGCUGGGGAUGCUCAUCAGGACCUCCCCCCCCCCCCUUUUUUUUUUUUCAAAGAAGGAUGCUUGAGCAUUGGGCACAGAUGCUGAGGUGGUUUGACUAGCUGAAGUUCUGAUUCGGGUGUUGGGGCAUCAUAUUCUGUUUCUCUUGGGAACCCAGCCUGCUCUCAUAGAUACCUACUUCUAUCACAUACCCUGAGCAUUGCCAAAAGAAGCCAUUCAGCAGCUGCUGUUUUUCUCUCAGCACAAAUAUAUUUGCUACAGAAGAACUAUCUUUUCUCUAAUACUAAUUCCCCGUCCAGUCCUCAGAAUCUGAUUAACUGUUCUUCCCUGCUGCACUGAAUAUGUUCGAGAUUUUAAAGAGGGAAUUUGAAGCAAUAGGCAAACAGGGCUUGGUUGAAUUGGUCUUGCAUAUAUCCUGUCUUAAGCCAAUGAGGUGAUGAGUCCACUGCUCAUGUGACCCUGCACCUUUGUGGAUCCUUCUUGGUUUGUGACCAGUGUACGUUUCUUGAGGUUGUACAAACUUGACAAAAGUUAAUACUUUUGUAUUCUCUGCACUGUUGCACUCUUCAAAUAGCCCCCUGAAUAUUACCUUGAUAUACACAUUUUUGUCUUUGAUGUCUACAGUAUUUUUCUUUUUUUUUUAAAUUUGAAGGUUAUCUGCUGUUGGAUUCAAUAAAUUUGUUUACCUAACUAUUG